ACACUGAUGAAGAGUCCCAAACUAGGACGAAACAGCUGUCCAGUAC
rfam:Trichobilharzia regenti genome assembly, scaffold: TRE_scaffold0027631